GACUUUGGAGAGGGCCUUUCAGAAAUCAGACUUUCAUUUUCCAGAUUUCCUAUCUCUCUCUAAAACUCUUUUCUUUUUCCCUAAAAAUUUGUUCUGCCUUCUCUCUAUGAUUUCCAAACACUGAACCGUUUAAUUUUUAGUUUGAAGGUGCCUAAAUGUUCACAGCGGCAAGGGCUUCAUUUUGAACCGAACAAUUUCUUGUUCCGACUGAUGGCGUGGAGGAUACCUUGGAAACAACUCUUAAUGGAGAUGGAAAUGUCGCUGCCUAGUUCAUUAGACUUUACUUUUCUUAGUCUUAGAUAUUUUGAAGAACUUUAUUUGUUAUGUUUAAAGUUUUAAAUUCCUAUCCUUUUUAGGAGAACUCUAUUUCUCCAAGUUCCUAAAUUCCUGUACUGCUUAAGGAUGACUGUAAUCCUAAUUGUCUCUAAUAUACUCUAACUGCUUUCAAUUAUUAUAUAUGAUGACAUCUUGAUUAUGUA